GACGAACGCUGGCGGCGUGCCUAAUACAUGCAAGUCGAGCGAAUGGAUUAAGAGCUUGCUCUUAUGAAGUUAGCGGCGGACGGGUGAGUAACACGUGGGUAACCUGCCCAUAAGACUGGGAUAACUCCGGGAAACCGGGGCUAAUACCGGAUAACAUUUUGAACCGCAUGGUUCGAAAUUGAAAGGCGGCUUCGGCUGUCACUUAUGGAUGGACCCGCGUCGCAUUAGCUAGUUGGUGAGGUAACGGCUCACCAAGGCAACGAUGCGUAGCCGGCCUGAGAGGGGGAUCGGCCACACUGGGACUGAGACACGGGCCAGACUCCUACGGGAGGCAGCAGUAGGGAAUCUUCCGCAAUGGACGAAAGUCUGACGGAGCAACGCCGCGUGAGUGAUGAAGGCUUUCGGGUCGUAAAACUCUGUUGUUAGGGAAGAACAAGUGCUAGUUGAAUAAGCUGGCACCUUGACGGUACCUAACCAGAAAGCCACGGCUAACUACGUGCCAGCCGCCGCAGUAA
rnacentral:rRNA from 1 species